AAGUCGUAAUAAGGUCUCCGUUGGUGAAUCAGCGGAGGGAUUAUUAUAGAGUUGUAAAACUCCCUACCAUUGUGAAUUUACCUCACCGUUGCUUCGGCGGGUAGCCUACUGAAUGUGGGCUGCGCAGGCUCUGUCUUCAGGGCCGGCACCCCGUCAGAAGACCUAAACUCUUCGUUUUUAUAGGCCUCUCUGAGUAACUUAUAUAAUAAGUUAAAACUUUCAACAACGGAUCUCUUGGUUCUG
rnacentral:misc_RNA from 1 species